GGUAUAUUAUUUUAGGAUUUUUAAGAAUUUUGCCUAUGAUGUCACGAUUUCUAGAAAGACUCCUAUUCUUUCGGUUUAUGGAUGAAUGCAAAGGAUCACAAAUGCCAGGAACUCCCAGCAGAGAUGGCUGGGGACCAAAGACAAAGACUCAAUUCCUCUUUAUUCUUGGACACACUCUGAAUUAGAGAAUCACCACAGGCGACCCU
rnacentral:lncRNA from 1 species